AUUGAACGCUGGCGGCAGGCCUAACACAUGCAAGUCGAGCGGAUGAAGGGAGCUUGCUCCUGGAUUCAGCGGCGGACGGGUGAGUAAUGCCUAGGAAUCUGCCUGGUAGUGGGGGAUAACGUCCGGAAACGGGCGCUAAUACCGCAUACGUCCUGCGGGAGAAAGUGGGGGAUCUUCGGACCUCACGCUCUCAGCUGAGCCUAGGUCGGAUUAGCUAGUUGGUGGGGUAAAGGCCUACCAAGGCGACGAUCCGUAACUGGUCUGAGAGGAUGAUCAGUCACACUGGAGCUGAGACACGGUCCAGACUCCUACGGGAGGCAGCAGUGGGGAAUAUUGGACAAUGGGCGAAAGCCUGAUCCAGUCAUGCCGCGUGUGUGAAGAAGGUCUUCGGAUUGUAAAGCACUUUAAGUUGGGAGGAAGGGCAGUAAGUUAAUACCUUGCUGUUUUGACGGUACCAACAGAAUAAGCACCGGCUAACUUCGUG
rnacentral:rRNA from 1 species